GACGAACGCUGGCGGCGUGCCUAACACAUGCAAGUCGAACGGAAAGGCCCUGUUCUUGUGGGGUGCUCGAGUGCCGAACGGGUGUGUAUCACGUGAGUAGACUCUCCCUUACUUUGGGAUAACUUCUGGAAACAGGGGCUCUUAUCGGACAGGAGCUCUUGCUGCAUGGUGGGGGUUGGUAAGAUUCGCCGGUUGGGGAUGCACUCGCGGCCUAUCAGCGUGUUGGUGGGGUAGUGGCGUACCAGCGCACUGACGGGUAGCCGGCCUGCGAGGGUGACCGGCCACAUUGGGACUGAGAUAGGGCCAAGACUCCUACGUGAGGCAGCAGUGGGGAAUAUUGCACAAUGGGCGGAAGCCGUAUGCAGGAACGCCGGGUGCGGGAUGACUGCUUUCGGGGUGUAAACCGCGUUCGCCUGGGACGAAGCGUGAGUGACGGUAAUGGGUAAAGAAGCACCGGCUAACUACGUG
rnacentral:rRNA from 1 species